rnacentral:rRNA from 1 species
CCUACGGGAGGCAGCGGUGGGGAAUAUCGCACAAUGGGCGCAAGCCUGAUGCAGCCAUGCCGCGUGUAUGAAGAAGGCCUUCGGGUUGUAAAGUACUUUCAGCGGGGAGGAAGGCGAUAAGGUUAAUAACCUUGUCGAUUGACGUUACCCGCAGAAGAAGCACCGGCUAACUCCGUGCCAGCAGCCGCGGUAAUACGGAGGGUGCAAGCGUUAAUCGGGAUUACUGGGCGUAAAGCGCACGCAGGCGGUCUGUCAAGUCGGAUGUGAAAUCCCCGGGCUCAACCUGGGAACUGCAUUCGAAACUGGCAGGCUAGAGUCUUGUAGAGGGGGGUAGAAUUCCAGGUGUAGCGGUGAAAUGCGUAGAGAUCUGGAGGAAUACCGGUGGCGAAGGCGGCCCCCUGGACAGAGACUGACGCUCAGGUGCGAAAGCGUGGGGAGCAAACAGGAUUAGAUACCCCAGUAGUC